rnacentral:lncRNA from 1 species
GCAAACCCCAUCUGCAGCCUUGCACCUCACCCCAUGGGCAAGAACAGGAAGUAGCACUGCGCAAACUCCACAGCCACCUCUCUGCUCUGUGUGCCGCUGCCCUCAGGGAACACAUUGACAGAUUUUUCAUUUCUUGAAAGAGGUUGAAGCUGGGAUUUCUUAUGAAAUGUCUCAAUUUUAAAAAUAUCGACUCAGCUUGCUUCUCCUAAGCGCACAGAUCCCAGCUCAACCUCUGCGUUACAAGUCGACAGAGCGACACCAUUUGGAAAAGUCCACAGCACAGCAGCGUCUCUGUAACUUUUUUUUUUUUCAGAAUCUGGCUAAAGUGCAGGAAGAAACCAUCUUUCCCUCACAGGUUACUGCAACAACACAAGAGCCUACAGAGUUGGGCAGAACUGCUUUACUUAGUGUGGCAGUUAAGCACGACUGUCUUCUAGAAGACACAGGGUUGUAUCCUUAAGAACACUCCCAAAUAGAUUUAGCUCAGGAGGGAAGACCCACCCUGAACCUGGACAGCAUUACCCCAUUGGCUGGGGUCUCUGAUUGAAUAAAAGGGAGAAAAGUGAAUCGAACAUCCGUAUUUGUCUCGCCAUGAUUUCUGACUAUGAAUGCCAUGUGACCUGCCUCACCAUGACAGACUGUACCCUCAAACUGCUGCAUUUGGUCCGAGUGUUUCAGCACUGAAGCUAAGAUACUUUCCCCACCACAUUCCAUUCCCCAGACACAAGUCCAGAGGCCAUGUACCACUCCAGAUGGACCAAGUACCAAAGCAACGUCUAGGCUGGGGAAGGUAAAAGGCUAUGCACCUGUUCCUGUGGCUUGCUGCUGCAGCUAUGCAAGCUUUCUGCCUGGGCACCAUGCUUCAGACUUUGCUGACUGCAGCCCUGAAACCCCAAGUAUGGAAAGGAACAAGGGAACUCUCCAAAAGAGCAGACCAGUGAACUCAGUCACCAAUGCCAGUAUUCACCUGUAUCCCAGUUACCUAAGGAAGCUGGGCUUUCAAGCCCAACACCACCAUGAAGUUAGCUAUAUGGACUGCACACCCUACAUGGGAUGGAGGAAGAUGAAAGACCUUGAAAAACAUUCAGCCUUCAUAACCAUCCUAGACCUCCAGUGAGGGCUUACCUUGCAUCCUCCAGAAAUGUGUGGAUCCACGGUACUGUCCUGUGCCACUGUUUGGAGACUAGCGCCUGGACCCAAGGAAGAAUAGCCCAUGGUUUCACUAACUUCAAUGUGUGUCAUUGACUCUAUUGCUUCUGGGAUAGGGUGAGGGAGAUUGCCAUUCGGGCAACAUGUUGUAGAGAAAUAUUGCUCGAUUCAUGGAAUCCAGGAAACAGAAAGGAGCC